rnacentral:rRNA from 1 species
UACGAAGGGGGCUAGCGUUACUCGGAUUGACUGGGCGUAAAGAGCGCGUAGGCGGUUCGUACAGUCAGACGUGAAAUUCCUGGGCUCAACCUGGGGGCUGCGUUUGAUACGUGCGGGCUUGAGUUCGGAAGAGGGUCGUGGAAUUCCCAGUGUAGAGGUGAAAUUCGUAGAUAUUGGGAAGAACACCGGUGGCGAAGGCGGCGACCUGGUCCGAUACUGACGCUGAGGCGCGAAAGCGUGGGGAGCAAACAGG